GGCCUGUGGUUGCUGGACACUGGUUUGUGCGUGCAGUGCGCCAGUUGGUAGAAAGGGGCCAAAAGUGAUACUGUGACUUACGCAUGGAGUCUGUGAUAUGUGAGCAGCUUCCAUAGCCCGGUCAGCAGUUACAGAC
rnacentral:snoRNA from 1 species